GACGAGCUGUAUACAAUGAGACUGGUUGUUACUUUUGCACAAAAUAAAUAAAUUAAGUAAAUAAAGAAAGGUGGGGUAAGCUUGUUCUUGAAGUCGGGCCUUGUGUAGGUCUCGCUCCUCAAAGGGAUACUUAAGUGACCAAUAGCGGUCGGCUGGACAAGCUCCGACCAAUAGCGGUCGGACGGACGAGCUCUGAAGCGGUGGACUGGACUAGCGCUAAUCAAUAG
rnacentral:misc_RNA from 1 species